GUUAAUUAAAACCCCCAAAAGAAUAAAAUGCACUAAUAUAAAAGAAUAAACGUACAUGAAUUAUAUAUAUUCAUGGUAUCCUUCCUUCUGUAUUUGUCACUAAAAUUGAAAACUGAAAAGGUUUGAACAUCAUGAAUUUAACCUAUAUUCUAUACAAGAAUAUUCAUUUAUGAAGCCAAGAACUUUUAAAACUAUCAUCAAAUUACCUAGUGGAGAGAAGAAGAUUGUUUCAAAUCAUCACAUAUAUUCCCUAAGAAUUUUAUAGAACAGGCAGUACUCAGUAUAUAUUCCAUCCAUCUUUAUUAAUCCCACAUGCCAUCGAAGUCUGCAAUGGGCCCAACUGAUGAUGGACCUUCAAGAUCAUCGUACACCUUGUUGUUUCCGAAGUCUUGCUUCGACACCACUGAUGAUAUCUCGGUGGUGGUGUUCAUGUCAGUGCUCAGUCCAGUGUCCUGUGAGACGGUGGCCACAGAUUGAUUAGAUGAAAAUUGUUCAACCUUGCAGUGUUUCUCCUGCCCAGAUGUUUCAAUAUUGGCAGUCACUGCUCUUAAAAGGGUCUGGUCAUUAGUACCAAAGCUAUAGUUUGGGAAGUAUCCAGACAUAUUUGGGGUUGUUUGGAAAUUGAAAAGAGGAUUUGAGGCUGGAAUUUGAGGGUAGAAAAUGGAAUUUGGUGUUUGGUAGCUGGAAUUUUGAAGCUGGUGAUGAAGAUAGUUUUGAUUAUUGUUAACCAUGGAUGUGGACAAGUGGGGCAAGUAAUUUCCAUCUAAUGAUCUUGAUGUCAUUGCUUUGAAUUCAUCGUCUUCAUCGUUGAAGGUGCUGGAGCCAGGCCUGCUAGAUUGAGGAGGAUCCAUGAGAGGUGGGAGUGAUGAAUAAUCCAAGAAAUCAUCACCAAAGGAGUUCACCCUUAAGAGGUCCUGAAUUGAAGUUCUCUUUAUCCCUGUGCUCUUGUGGAAAACCCUGCAGACAACCCAUUCAUCCUGUACAAAAAGCCAUAAAUUUAGUCUAGCUAGAUUCUUCAUGUACACAAAAAGCAAAAGAAAAGGGAUACCCAUGAAAGAAACUCUCUGCCAAAAGAAAAGCUAAUUAUUUAAUAAAAGAUAUGAUAGAUAAACAGGUAAUGAGACUGAUAUUUCCUUUUAGAAACAACAAAUGAACAAGGAAAAACAAGAAAGGGAAUUGACUUGCUUUUGUGCAUAUGCGAUACAUACCUUUGAAGCUUUAGGAAGGUUGUAGUAAGAGAAUUUGCCUUCAAGUCUAUAUUCAUGCAUGACCCAAUUGGUUUUCUCCCCUUUAGGUGCUCUCCCUCUGUAGAAAACAAGGGUCUUCUUCAUCCCAACAAGGCAAUUUUUCCCCUUGUAAAUCUCCCUAUCUUUUCCGGUGGCCUUCCAAUAGCCGGCCUCCGUGGCUCGGUUUGUUCUCAUACCAGUUGGGUACUUCCUAUCUCUCUGGCAAAAGAAGUACCAUUCCUUUUCUCCCAUCUUUGCUUUCUUGGGCAAAUCCCAUGGUUCGCACUUAUUGAGAUCAACUUCACCAAUAGCACAUGCACUGAAACCGCUAUUAAUCACCUUCUCUGUGAGAUAAUGAGUUAUGAUCUCUUCAUCUGUGGGAUGGAACCGAAAACCAGGAGGCAGAUCGAUAAGAUCUUCUCCUUUGUUGACCACAACAGCAACUUCCAUUAAUAUCACAACACCAAACUUAAAAUCCUCCACAAGAACCUAAAAAUAUAAGCACAAAAGAAGCAAAUUCAAGAAAGAAAGAAAAGAAAAAUAGCAAGCAGCUAUGAGGAGGAGAAUGAAAAGAGAGAACAGUUAAGAAAGUAGAGCAAAGGCAGAAUAUAGAGCUUAAAUAGAGGAGUUUGCUGAGGAAAGAUCCGUGGACAACAAGGAACUCUUUUGUUGCAGUAUAAAGGAAGGCUCUUAUAGAGGGAGUUCAAUAGUUGUUGUUUCUGGUUUUAAUUUCUUUAUUAUUAAUUAUAUGUUGUGUGUAUUUGAUUUUGAUUUGUGGGUCUUU
rnacentral:misc_RNA from 1 species